rnacentral:lncRNA from 1 species
CAUUCAGACACAUGAUCUAGACACAAUGUAGAAGUGGGCCAAGGACUCACAUGAAGACGUGUAGUAGACGUGUGUCAUGUGUAGCAAAUAUGUUAUGAAUUGGCAGUGUGGACAUACUCUAAAGAUGUGGUUUUCUGAGUCCCGCUGAACCUUACAGGAGUGUUAGUGAAACUUUGGUGGUCAAGGACCCCCAGAGGAAACCAUCCGAGACUGAGGCUCAGAUGGAGCAGAGAGAGAUCUUCACUCUUCGGCAACAGACUCAGGAUUUGGAAAAGUGAACAUGACAGUGUUGAGCUCAAAAUGAGAUGCCUCUCACCAGCUCCCAAGGACUUACCAUUCCCAGAGAGCUUGGUUCUGCCUCCUUAUGGAAGGGAGUGAGUGGCGGAGAGUUACCCACAGUGCUGUAUUAACACCAUCUCUCCAAAGAGCCCCUGGCAUUCUCUAGCAAGCGUGGAACCCUCUCUGGAGGAUGCCGAGAGACCGUGCUGCCUGAGCAGUUCAUCAUCUCUGAUCUGCUGCAGUGACUUAGGCCCCAUCAAGUACUGGGAGCUGAUAGACUCGUCAAGUCAGAGCUUAGAUACCAAAACACAGAUGAUGUGGAUUGUCUAGAGACACGCUCAAGCCAGCCCAGAGGGCACAAUGCUGCUUCCCAGAUGGGUGGUCUCAACCCCACAUCCCCGUCUGUCCCAUCUCCCUCACACGGCUCACACCAUGAUUUCCUGAAAGAAAGGCAAGUUUAAACUACAAACUUGGCUUUCAUUGCAAAGUAAAACAAGGUCUAUUACUAUCUUGUCAAACUAGACCUUUCAGACAGGGGCCAGGGACAUUCCCAAUUGACAGCCUUGAGUAUCUCUCGCUCGACAUGAACCUUGACACCAGCUCACGUGCCACAGUGAAUUCUUACUGUGCAUCUCAAGCCUGAGGGGAAAUGCCAGAAGUCAAAGAGGGGUGUGAGCGUGUGAGUGCCC